AGAUUAAGCAAAGAAGAGCGCAGGGUGGAUGCCUUGGCACUAAGAGCCGAAGAAAGACGUGAUAAGCUGCGAAAAGCUGCGGGGAGAUGCAAAUAAUCCUUGAUCCGCAGAUGUCUGAAUGGGGAAACCCGGUACGAAGAACUCGUAUCAUCCAUACGCCAAUCCAUAACGUAUGGAGGGGAACCCGGUGAACUGAAACAUCUAAGUAGCCGGAGGAAGAGAAAGAAACAUCGAUUUUGUUAGUAGCGGCGAGCGAAAGCGAAAGAGGCCAAACCGGAGUGCGUGCACUCCGGGGUUCGGACCGCAUUUAAGAUUCAGUGAUUCUAGCAGAAAGGUUUGGGAAAGCCUGCCGGAGAGGGUGAAAGCCCCGUAAGCGAAAGGAAAACUGACUGAGCGGGAUCCAGAGUACAUCGAGACACGAGAAACCUUGAUGGAAUAAGCGGGGACCACCCCGUAAGCCUAAAUACUACUUAGUGACCGAUAGCGCAUAGUACUGUGAAGGAAAGGUGAAAAGGACCCCGGGAGGGGAGUGAAAGAGAACCUGAAACCCUGUGUUUACAAGCUGUGGAAGUUCUUUAAAUGAACAACCGCGUACUUUUUGUAGAACGGUCCGGCGAGUUGCGGAUACUGGCAAGGUUAAGCACUUAAGGUGCGGAGCCGAAGGGAUACCAAGUCUUAACAGGGCGUUAAGUCAGUAUACGCAGACCCGAAACCGGGUGAUCUAUCCAUGUCCAGGUUGAAGUUGUCGUAAAAGACAAUGGAGGACCGAAGCCACAUCCGUUGAAAAGGGUGGGCAUGAGGUGUGGAUAGGGGAGAAAUUCCAAUCGAACCCGGAGAUAGCUGGUUCUCCUCGAAAUAGCUUUAGGGCUAGCCUCGAUUUAGUCUUAUGGAGGUAGAGCACUGAAUUUCCGCGGGGGCGUCAAAGCUUACCAAAGAAUAUCAAACUCCGAAUGCCAUGUAGAUGAUGAUCGGGAGUCAGACUGCACGAGAUAAGUUGGGCAGUCAAAAGGGAAAGAGCCCAGACCACCGGCUAAGGUCCCAAAGUGCGUGUUAAGUGGAAAAGGAUGUGGGAAUUCGAAGACAACUAGGAUGUUGGCUCAGAAGCAGCCAUACAUUCAAAGAGUGCGUAACAGCUCACUAGUCGAGAGUUCCUGCGCCGAAAAUGUCCGGGGCUGAAACACGACACCGAAGCCGUGGACUCGCAAUGCGAGUGGUAGAGGAGCAUUCUUAAAACCGACGAAGCUGUACCGUAAGGAGCAGUGGAGGGAUAAGAAGAGAGAAUGCCGGAAUGAGUAGCGAGAGAAAGGUGGGAAUCCUUUCGGCCGAAUAUCUAAGGUUUCCAGAGUAAAGCUGAUCUGCUCUGGGUAAGUCGGGGCCUAAGCACAGGUCGCAAGACGUAAGCGAUGGAUAACAGGUUUAGAUUCCUGUACCACGCAUUAUCAGAACUGUAGGGACGCAUGUGGAAAGCACGAGCCGGGAAUGGAAAGACCGGUACAAGCGAGGUAGGUGUACGAUAGGCAAAUCCGUCGUAUAAUCCGAAGACGUGAUGUGGAGCGAAAUAAAGUAGUGAAGCGUGUGAGCCAUGUGCCGAGAAAAGCUGCUAUUGUGUAAUGCGUGCCCGUACCGUAAACCGACACAGGUGGAUGAGGAGAGAAUCCUAAGGCCGACGGAAGAAGCAUUGUUAAGGAAUUCGGCAAAAUGACCCCGUAACUUCGGGAGAAGGGGUGCCUGCGAGAGCAGGCCGCAGAGAAUAGGCUCAAGCAACUGUUUAGCAAAAACACAGGUCUAUGCGAAACCGAAAGGUGAAGUAUAUGGGCUGACGCCUGCCCGGUGCUGGAAGGUUAAGAGGAGAGGUUAGCUUCGGCGAAGCUUUGAAUUUAAGCCCCAGUAAACGGCGGCCGUAACUAUAACGGUCCUAAGGUAGCGAAAUUCCUUGUCGGGUAAGUUCCGACCCGCACGAAAGGCGUAAUGAUUUGAGCACUGUCUCGACAAUGCAUCCGGUGAAAUUGAAGUACCAGUGAAGAUGCUGGUUACCCGCGCCAGGACGGAAAGACCCCAUGGAGCUUUACUCCAGUUUGAUACUGGGAUUCGGUACUGCAUGUACAGGAUAGGUGGGAGACGAAGAAGGAUGGACGCCAGUCUGUCCGGAGUCGCUGUUGGGAUACCACCCCUGUAGUACUGGGUUUCUAACCAGUUACCAUGAUCUGGUAAUGGGACAAUGUCAGGCGGGGAGUUUGACUGGGGCGGUCGCCUCCGAAAGGGUAUCGGAGGCGCUCAAAGGUUCCCUCAGAAUGGUUGGAAACCAUUUGAAGAGUGCAAAGGCAGAAGGGAGCUUGACUGCGACACCGACGGGUGGAGCAGGUACGAAAGUAGGACUUAGUGAUCCGGUGGUAUAAAGUGGGAUUGCCAUCGCUCAACGGAUAAAAGCUACCCUGGGGAUAACAGGCUUAUCACUCCCAAGAGUUCACAUCGACGGAGUGGUUUGGCACCUCGAUGUCGGCUCAUCGCAUCCUGGGGCUGUAGCAGGUCCCAAGGGUUGGGCUGUUCGCCCAUUAAAGCGGUACGCGAGCUGGGUUCAGAACGUCGUGAGACAGUUCGGUCCCUAUCCGGCGCGGGCGGAGGAUAUUUGAGAGGAGCUGUCCUUAGUACGAGAGGACCGGGAUGGACGGACCACUGGUGUAUCUGUUGUCGACCAACGGCAUGGCAGAGUAGCCAAGUCUGGAAGGGAUAAACGCUGAAGGCAUCUAAGCGUGAAGCCCCCCUCAAGAUGAGAUAUCCCUCCUUCGGGAGUAAGACCCCUUGAAGACUACAAGGUAGAUAGGGCAGAGGUGGAAGCAUGGCAACAUGUGGAGCUGACUGUUACUAAUAGGUCGAGGGCUUAAUCUG
rnacentral:rRNA from 1 species